AAAUUGAAGAGUUUGAUCAUGGCUCAGAUUGAACGCUGGCGGCAGGCCUAACACAUGCAAGUCGAACGGUAACAGGAAGAAUUGCUUCUUUGCUGACGAGUGGCGGACGGGUGAGUAAUGUCUGGGAAACUGCCUGAUGGAGGGGGAUAACUACUGGAAACGGUAGCUAAUACCGCAUAACGUCGCAAGACCAAAGAGGGGGACCUUCGGGCCUCUUGCCAUCGGAUGUGCCCAGAUGGGAUUAGCUAGUAGGUGGGGUAACGGCUCACCUAGGCGACGAUCCCUAGCUGGUCUGAGAGGAUGACCAGCCACACUGGAACUGAGACACGGUCCAGACUCCUACGGGAGGCAGCAGUGGGGAAUAUUGCACAAUGGGCGCAAGCCUGAUGCAGCCAUGCCGCGUGUAUGAAGAAGGCCUUCGGGUUGUAAAGUACUUUCAGCGGGGAGGAAGGGAGUAAAGUUAAUACCUUUACUCAUUGACGUUACCC
rnacentral:rRNA from 1 species